GCACGGAGAGGAGGGUUGGGGCCCUACCCUCAAGGCGCUUACAGUCGAAUGAGGGUGCGCAU
rnacentral:miRNA from 1 species